rnacentral:tRNA from 1 species
GGGUUUGUAGCUCAGUGGUAGAGCACUUGCCUUGUUCGCGUGAGGCCCUGGGUUUGAUCCUCAGCACCA